AGUUUGAUCCUGGCUCAGGAUGAACGCUAGCUACWGGCUUAACACAUGCAAGUCGAGGGGCAGCAUGGUCUUAGCUUGCUAAGGCCGAUGGCGACCGGCGCACGGGUGAGUAACGCGUAUCCAACCUGCCUUACACUCUUGGACAGCCUUCUGAAAGGGAGAUUAAUACAAGAUGUUAUCAUGAGUAAGCAUUUUCGCAUGAUUAAAGGUUUACCGGUGUAAGAUGGGGAUGCGUUCCAUUAGAUAGUAUGCGGGGUAACGGCCCACCUAGUCUUCGAUGGAUAGGGGUUCUGAGAGGAAGGUCCCCCGCAUUGGAACUGAGACACGGUCCAAACUCCUACGGGAGGCAGCAGUGAGGAAUAUUGGUCAAUGGACGAGAGUCUGAACCAGCCAAGUAGCGUGAAGGAUGAAGGUUCUAUGGAUUGUAAACUUCUUUUAUACGGGAAUAAACGAAUCCACGUGUGGAUUUUUGCAUGUACCGUAUGAAUAAGGAUCGGCUAACUCCGUGCCAGCAGCCGCGGUAAUACGGAGGAUCCGAGCGUUAUCCGGAUUUAUUGGGUUUAAAGGGAGCGUAGAUGGGUUGUUAAGUCAGUUGUGAAAGUUUGCGGCUCAACCGUAAAAUUGCAAUUGAUACUGGCAGUCUUGAGUACAGUUGAGGUAGGCGGAAUUCGUGGUGUAGCGGUGAAAUGCUUAGAUAUCACGAAGAACUCCGAUUGCGAAGGCAGCUUACUAACCUGUAACUGACAUUGAUGCUCGAAAGUGUGGGUAUCAAACAGGAUUAGAUACCCUGGUAGUCCACACGGUAAACGAUGAAUACUCGCUGUAGGCGAUAUACGGUCUGCGGCCAAGCGAAAGCAUUAAGUAUUCCACCUGGGGAGUACGCCGGCAACGGUGAAACUCAAAGGAAUUGACGGGGGCCCGCACAAGCGGAGGAACAUGUGGUUUAAUUCGAUGAUACGCGAGGAACCUUACCCGGGCUUAAAUUGCAACCGAAUAUGGCGGAAACGCUAUAGCUAGCAAUAGCGGUUGUGAAGGUGCUGCAUGGUUGUCGUCAGCUCGUGCCGUGAGGUGUCGGCUUAAGUGCCAUAACGAGCGCAACCCUUGCCGAUAGUUACUAACAGGUUAUGCUGAGGACUCUGUCGGGACUGCCAUCGUAAGAUGUGAGGAAGGUGG
rnacentral:rRNA from 1 species